rnacentral:rRNA from 1 species
CCCUUAGAUGUUCUGGGCCGCACGCGCGCUACACUGAUGCAUUCAACGAGUUUUUCCUGGUCCGAGAGGAAUGGGUAAUCUUUUGAAAGUGCAUCGUGCUAGGGAUAGACUAUUGCAAUUAUUGGUCUUCAACGAGGAAUUCCUAGUAGACGUAGUUCAUCAGACUGCAUCGAUUACGUCCCUGCCCUUUGUACACACCGCCCGUCGCUCCUACCGAUUGGAUGAUCCGGUGAGCUAUUCGGACCUUCGCUUCGUCGAUUUUCGGCUUUGUGAGGGAAAGUCUCGCGAACCUUAUCAUCUAGAGGAAGGAGAAGUCGUAACA